AGUGAACGCUGGCGGUAGGCCUAACACAUGCAAGUCGAACGGCAGCACAGUAAGAGCUUGCUCUUACGGGUGGCGAGUGGCGGACGGGUGAGGAAUACAUCGGAAUCUACUUUUUCGUGGGGGAUAACGUAGGGAAACUUACGCUAAUACCGCAUACGACCUACGGGUGAAAGCAGGGGAUCUUCGGACCUUGCGCGAUUGAAUGAGCCGAUGUCGGAUUAGUUAGUUGGAGGGGUAAAGGCCCACCAAGGCGACGAUCCGUAGCUGGUCUGAGAGGAUGAUCAGCCACACUGGAACUGAGACACGGUCCAGACUCCUACGGGAGGCAGCAGUGGGGAAUAUUGGACAAUGGGCGCAAGCCUGAUCCAGCCAUACCGCGUGGGUGAAGAAGGCCUUCGGGUUGUAAAGCCCUUUUGUUGGGAAAGAAAAGCAGCAGGUUAAUACCCCGCUGUUCUGACGGUACCCAAAGAAUAAGCACCGGCUAACUUCGUG
rnacentral:rRNA from 1 species